rnacentral:tRNA from 1 species
GCCGGCUUAGCUCAGUUGGUAGAGCAGCGCACUUGUAAUGCGAAGGUCAACAGUUCGAAUCCGUUAGCCGGCA